GUGGGGAAUAUUGGACAAUGGGCGAAAGCCUGAUCCAGCCAUGCCGCGUGUGUGAAGAAGGUCUUCGGAUUGUAAAGCACUUUAAGUUGGGAGGAAGGGUAGUAACCUAAUACGUUGCUACUUUGACGUUACCGACAGAAUAAGCACCGGCUAACUUCGUGCCAGCAGCCGCGGUAAUACGAAUGGUGCAAGCGUUAAUCGGAAUUACUGGGCGUAAAGCGCGCGUAGGUGGUUCAGUAAGUUGGAAGUGAAAUCCCCGGGCUCAACCUGGGAACUGCUUUCAAAACUGCUGAGCUAGAGUACGGUAGAGGGUGGUGGAAUUUCCUGUGUAGCGGUGAAAUGCGUAGAUAUAGGAAGGAACACCAGUGGCGAAGGCGACCACCUGGACUGAUACUGACACUGAGGUGCGAAAGCGUGGGGAGCAAACAGGAUUAGAAACCCCUGUAGUCC
rnacentral:rRNA from 1 species